AAUGACAUUACAUCAGGUAUGAUUUACGUACGAUUUAGAGGUGACCAAUACAUACCGGUAUGUGUGCUUGAAAUGGGACAUUAAUGUCACGUAUAUGACAUCAUGAGGUGACUAAUAAAUUGGUGUGUGUGUUUGAAGUGUGUCUGCAGCUGAAGAAGAGGAGGCACGGCCGGUUGGACUCUCAGACGUACAAGAGAUCAGCGUGUCCCCAUCAGUACCCUAUGUGCACUGAUGAAGACUGGGGCUCUGGCUGUCCCUCUGGUUGUGUUGUGCAGGCUCUGCUCCUGCAGCAGGAGGUGGCGGUGGAGAGAAGGAUGCUGGAGGUGUGUGACGGAGUGGAGCGACACCACCACGCCUCCCGCUCCACCCUGGGCUCCAGCUGGGUGUUCUACCACACCCAGAGACACGCACUCGGCUCCCAGCGCGACUCGGUGCUCCGGUAUGUUGCCGGGGCUGACCGACUGGCAAGGAAGCUGAGGUUGCUACGGAAACUAUCGUCUGCGUCGUCACAGAGACUGAAGGAGCUGAGGCAACAGGUCCAGAAACAGAUGGAAGAGCUUUAUCAUACAGAGGUCGACGUGGACAUUAAGAUCCGGGCUUGCCAGGGCUCCUGCGCCUCCAGGCUGACCUUCAGGCUCCAGGAGGAGGACUACCCGGACCUCCUAGACCAGAUAGCCCUCUCUCCUCCUGCUCCUCCACCCAGGCGGGAGCUCCCAGACGUAGCAACCUCCGCCCCCGGCGGACUGGAAGAACAGCUGCGACACUUUGGAGACAUUGAGGAGAACAAGCUGGUGAUCCACCCUCCACGCCUUCACCCAGAACACCCAGACCUCUGAGACGGCUGUCACAUGAUCACAACCAUCACCUCACAUGAGACGGCUGUCACACGAUCAGAACUAUCACCUCCCAUGAGACGUCUGUCACAUGAUCAGAACUCUCACCUCACAUGAGACUGCUGUCACAUGAUCAGAACUCUCACCUCAUAUGAGACUGCUGUCACAUGAUCAGAACUAUCACCUCACAUGAGACGUCUGUCACAUGAUCCCAACCAUCACCUCACAUGAGACGUCUGUCACAUGAUCACAACCAUCACCUCACAUGAGACGUCUGUCACAUGAUCAGAACUCUCACCUCACAUGAGACUGCUGUCACAUGAUCAGAACUCUCACCUCACAUGAGACUGCUGUCACAUGAUCAGAACUAUCACCUCACAUGAGACGUCUGUCACAUGAUCAGAACUCUCACCUCACAUGAGACUGCUGUCACAUGAUCAGAACUAUCACCUCACAUGAGACGUCUGUCACAUGAUCAGAACUCUCACCUCACAUGAGACGGCUGUCACACGAUCACAACUAUCACCUCACAUGACACUGCUGUCGCAUGAUCACAACCAUCACCUCACAUGAGAUGGCUGUCACACGAUCACAACCAUCACCUCACAUGAGAUGGCUGUCACAUGAUCACAACCAUCACCUCACAUGAGAUGGCUGUCACAUGAUCACAACUAUCCUCUGGUCAAGCAGGAACCACCGAGCACACCGGAGUCUGUGAUGCUUUUGUUGUUCGGGGCCAUGUCGGGCCGCGACCCACCUCCAAAUGGAGCUGUAGUUACAAACUGCUGCCCCAAACACUACUGAAGAGUCAGGCUGUUUUAUCGUGAAGAAUAAAUAAUACCAUGUAUUAUUGCAGUAAUAUGAGUACUGUCAUGGAGUCUUAAAGAAAAUACAUUUAUUUGUGUCAUACUUUGAUUCAUUUUAUUCGAUAUACAUAUAUAUAUAAUAUCAAGGAAGUGGUACGGAGAGAAACAGGUUUCACUGUAAUAUGAAAGGAGGUGGUACUAGGAGAAACAGGUUUUACUGUAAUAAUAAAGGCAGUGGUACUAUUAGAAACAGGUUUACUGUAAUAUGAAAGGAGGUGGUACUAGGAGAAACAGGUUUUACUGUAAUAAUAAAGGCAGUGGUACUAUUAGAAACAGGUUUACUGUAAUAUAAAAGGAGGUGGUACUAGGAGAAACAGGUUUUACUGUAAUAAUAAAGGCAGUGGUACUAUUAGAAACAGGUUUCACUGUAAUAUGAAAGGAGGUGGUACUAGGAGAAACAGGUUUUACUGUAAUAAUAAAGGCAGUGGUACUAUUAGAAACAGGUUUCACUGUAAUAUGAAAGGAGGUGGUACUAGGAGAAACAGGUUUUACUGUAAUAAUAAAGGCAGUGGUACUAUUAGAAACAGGUUUCACUGUAAUAUAAAAGGAGGUGGUACUAGGAGAAACAGGUUUUACUGUAAUAAUAAAGGCAGUGGUACUAUUAGAAACAGGUUUCACUGUAAUAUGAAAGGAGGUGGUACUAGGAGAAACAGGUUUACUGUAAUAAUAAAGGCAGUGGUACUAUUAGAAACAGGUUUCACUGUAAUAUAAAAGGAGGUGGUACUAGGAGAAACAGGUUUUACUGUAAUAAUAAAGGCAGUGGUACUAUUAGAAACAGGUUUACUGUAAUAUAAAAGGUGGUGGUACUAUGACGAACGUGUUUUACUGAAAUUUAUAAAGUGCUGAAAGCAAUAUUUAUCUGUUAAAAUAAGUGUGGAAUAGCUCUAUAUUCCUACAGCCAUCACUUAUAGUGUGUCUGGUCUGUUGAGAGAGAACUCCACAAAGAGGAAUACUAGUUGGUAUGAUGAGAUUCAAGAUUCAAGAUGCUUUAUUUAUCCCGAGGGAAAUUACUGUGCAACAGUUACAAUACAAAGGUGGGAAAGUAAUGCAGGGUUGGAGUCAAAAUAGAUAAAAUAGAUGGAAAUAAAAUAAGUACAAACUAAAUAAGUGAAAAGGAGCGAUUGGAUAAAGUGGUAUUAGUGGUAAAAGUGGUAAAGUGAUAAAUAUUAUAGCAGCAAUUAUUGGCAGCAUAAAUUAACUAAAGUGAUGAAGUGAAAAUUGGGUAAAAAUAAAUAAAUAAAGUGACAUUGGUCUCAGGGCAUAGUGUCUCCACGGUCCCUUCUGCAGCCGGAGGUAGAUGCGUUAAACCGUCACACACACGCAGAGUAGCAAUACUAAUUCAUAGGUCAUGAAUUAGCUAGAAAAACCUAACUGCUUAUUUCAAACAGCCAGUUGCUAUGAUGGCAUGUUAGCAGAUAUCGAACCUGUGGUAUUUUAUUUCCUGACCUUAACCCUGUACAGUCUAACAACCUAUGAAGCCAUCAGUGUUCAAAUUGAGAAGAAAAUUGUGAGAAAUAAAGAGUUAAGUUUGAAGAACAAGACUCGUAUGGUCCAUCUCCUAUUGAUGCAUGACUCGAGACUGUCAGAGUCUGGAGACCAUUUCAGUCUGAACAUGCUGUCAUUCUGAGAUACUGUCAGUCGGAAGACUGUUACUAUGGAGACUGUUGGUCUGAAGACGGUGUCAGAUUCUUUAGAUGCUGUCUGUGAAAUCGUCUUUAGUUUCUGAUUUGAAACAAGUAAUUUGUCUCUGUGCCAGUUGAACGUGUCUCUGAUUUA